rnacentral:rRNA from 1 species
UUCCGGUUGAUCCCGCCGGACCUGACUGCUAUCGGAUUGGUACUAAGCCAUGCGAGUCGUUGUAGCAAUACAAGGCGGACGGCUCAGUAACACGUAGUCAACCUAACCUAUGGACGUGGAUAACCUCGGGAAACUGAGAAUAAACCGCGAUAGAUCAUUAUGCCUGGAAUGGCUUAUGGUUCAAACAAUUUAUUGCCGUAGGAUGGGACUGCGGCCUAUCAGCUUGUUGGUGAGGUAAUGGCCCACCAAGGCUAUAACAGGUACGGGCUCUGAGAGGAGAAGCCCGGAGAUGGGUACUGAGACACGGACCCAGGCCCUAUGGGGCGCAGCAGGCGAGAAACCUUAGCAAUGUGCGAAAGCACGACUAGGUUAAUCCGAGUGAUUUCUGUUGAAGAAAUCUUUUGUCAGUCGUAAAACCACAGACGAAUAAGGGGUGGGCAAGUCUGGUGUCAGCCGCCGCGGUAAUACCAGCACCUCGAGUGGUCAGGAGGUUUAUUGGGCCUAAAGCAUCCGUAGCCGGCUACGCAAGUCUCCGGUUAAAUCCAGCUGCUCAACAGAUGGGCUGCCGGAGAUACUACAUAGCUAGGGAGCGGGAGAGGUAGACGGUAUUCUGUGGGUAGGGGUAAAAUCCACUGAUCCAUAGAGGACCACCAGUGGCGAAGGCGGUCUACCAGAACGCGUUCGACGGUGAGGGAUGAAAGCUGGGGGAGCAAACCGGAUUAGAUACCCGGGUAGUCCCAGCUGUAAACGAUGCAAACUCGGUGAUGCAUUGGCUUAUGGCCAAUGCAGUGCCGCAGGGAAGCCGUUAAGUUUGCCGCCUGGGAAGUACGGACGCAAGUCUGAAACUUAAAGGAUUGGCGGGGGAGCA